UGGGGAAUUUUGGACAAUGGGGGCAACCCUGAUCCAGCAAUGCCGCGUGUGUGAAGAAGGCCUUCGGGUUGUAAAGCACUUUUGUCCGGAAAGAAAACGUCGUGGUUAAUACCCGUGGCGGCUGACGGUACCGGAAGAAUAAGCACCGGCUAACUACGUGCCAGCAGCCGCGGUAAUACGUAGGGUGCAAGCGUUAAUCGGAAUUACUGGGCGUAAAGCGUGCGCAGGCGGUCCGCUAAGACAGAUGUGAAAUCCCCGGGCUUAACCUGGGAACUGCAUUUGUGACUGGCGGGCUAGAGUAUGGCAGAGGGGGGUAGAAUUCCACGUGUAGCAGUGAAAUGCGUAGAGAUGUGGAGGAAUACCGAUGGCGAAGGCAGCCCCCUGGGCCAAUACUGACGCUCAUGCACGAAAGCGUGGGGAGCAAACAGGAUUAGAUACCCUGGUAGUCCACGCCCUAAACGAUGUCAACUAGUUGUCGGGUCUUCAUUUCCUUAGUAACGUAGCUAACCGCGUGAAGUUGACCGCCUGGGGAGUACGGUCGCAAGAUUAAAACUCAAAUGAAUUGAC
rnacentral:rRNA from 1 species